rnacentral:rRNA from 1 species
CGCAUCUGUGCAUGCAGCAUAUCAAUAAGCGGAGGAAAAGAAACUAACAAGGAUUCCCUUAGUAACGGCGAGUGAAGCGGGAAGAGCUCAAAUUUGAAAUCUUCAAGGUUUUACCUUGACGAAUUGUAGUUUAAAGAAGUGUUUUCUGCUGAAGUUUUGGUAAAAGUUCUUUGGAAUAGGGACAUCAUAGAGGGUGAGAAUCCCGUAUUUGACCAUUAUUUUCAGCUUUGUGAUACACUUUCAAAGAGUCGGAUUGUUUGGGAAUGCAGUCCAAAAUGGGUGGUAAAUUUCAUCUAAAGCUAAAUAUUGGCGAGAGACCGAUAGCGAACAAGUACCGUGAGGGAAAGAUGAAAAGAACUUUGAAAAGAGAGUUAAACAGUACGUGAAAUUGUCAAAAGGGAAGCGUUUGACACCAGUGUUGUUUUCCUCGAAAAUCAAUUAAAAAUGGCUCGAUUUUGUAUUGCUUGAGACCUUAAAAGCUCACUGUACAUUUUUCGUGUCUUUUUUAAUGCACUUUUCGUUUAACAAGUCAACAUCAGUUUCUUUUGUUGUAAAAGGGUCAUUGGAAGGUGGCUUUCUUUUCGGAGAAAGUGUUUAUAGCCUUUGGCCUCUGCAAUCGGAAGAGACUGAGGUCUGCAGCGUAGACUCUUCGGGGUUAGAUACAUUUGUGCUAAGUUAUAGCUUUUUAUAGACAACUUGUUGACUAUAAUUAGUCUUGUAGCUUACUCGCUUAUGCUAUUUUACCUACGCUUAGGAUGUUGACGCAUGAGAUAUACGC